rnacentral:rRNA from 1 species
UGGGGAAUAUUGCACAAUGGGCGCAAGCCUGAUGCAGCCAUGCCGCGUGUAUGAAGAAGGCCUUCGGGUUGUAAAGUACUUUCAGCGGGGAGGAAGGGAGUAAAGUUAAUACCUUUGCUCUUUGACGUUACCCGCAGAAGAAGCACCGGCUAACUCCGUGCCAGCAGCCGCGGUAAUACGGCGGGUGCAAGCGUUAAUCGGAAUUACUGGGCGUAAAGCGCACGCAGGCGGCUUCUUAAGUCUGAUGUGAAAGCCCCCGGCUCAACCGGGGAGGGUCAUUGGAAAAUGGGGGGCUUGAGUGCAGAAGAGGAGAGUGGAAUUCCAUGUGUAGCGGUGAAAUGCGUAGAUAUAUGGAGGAACACCAGUGGCGAAGGCGGCUCUCUGGUCUGAAACUGACGCUGAGGCUCGAAAGCGUGGGGAGCAAACAGG